GUGGGGAAUUUUGGACAAUGGGCGCAAGCCUGAUCCAGCAAUGCCGCGUGCAGGAUGAAGGCCUUCGGGUUGUAAACUGCUUUUGUACGGAACGAAAAGCCCUGGGUUAAUACCCUGGGGUCAUGACGGUACCGUAAGAAUAAGCACCGGCUAACUACGUGCCAGCAGCCGCGGUAAUACGUAGGGUGCGAGCGUUAAUCGGAAUUACUGGGCGUAAAGCGUGCGCAGGCGGUUUUGUAAGACAGAGGUGAAAUCCCCGGGCUCAACCUGGGAACUGCCUUUGUGACUGCAAGGCUAGAGUACGGCAGAGGGGGAUGGAAUUCCGCGUGUAGCAGUGAAAUGCGUAGAUAUGCGGAGGAACACCGAUGGCGAAGGCAAUCCCCUGGGCCUGUACUGACGCUCAUGCACGAAAGCGUGGGGAGCAAACAGGAUUAGAAACCCGGGUAGUCC
rnacentral:rRNA from 1 species